GGUCAGCACUUGGAAAGAUCUGAAAGCCUGUUCCUUUUCGCUUAUGCCGUGUAAAGGCACCUGACCUUUCAGUGAUCCUAAUUUCUCUUGCUUUCCUCUUCCCUUCACCCUCCAUCCAGCCUAUUAUUUAUCGAAGUGGAAUGGAAAUUUCACACUCCCCUUUCUUUUUUCUUCCAAAAUAGUUUUUAAAAUAAGUGACCAAAGACAGUGAUGACACAAGUUAAAGUGCAGGUUACCUUGCUAAUUCACCAGGAACUUUCUCUUUUCAGAGCAAACCUGUUCUGUAGAAUUUGGAGCUGCAUGUAUUGCCAUGCUCUGGCUUGCACCAGGAGAAACCAGCUAAUGCCAUGCACUGAGCUCACUCCCCAGAACUCAGCAGCAGCAGACAACCGCCACAGCUUUUUCCUACUCCAGUGCUGGGAUCCAGGGAGGUCCACUAGCACACACAGAAACUCUGCUUUUCUGUGAGAACUGAGAUUCAGGCAUAAUCCUCAUGUCUGUGAAGUAAAUCUCCUUGAUGCUAGCCCGGAUGCAGACCAACUCUGGAGUCUGCUUUGAAGCAGGGCUUUGAACUUGCCCUGCUGCUGGGGUGAUAGUGAACCUGGAUGUCCCCUGGCUCAGCAGAGGAUAAGGGUCUCGGUCUGGCUUCCUAAAUCAAAGCAGGAGAUGAGCAAUGCCUCCAUCUCCAUAAGCAGGGUGUUGUGGAGAGAUGCAGCCCACACCCUGUUAAGGAGAUGUGGGAAGAGGCAGUGGAGGUAUGAGUGGGCACAGAGAGACCAGGUGUGAAACCACAUUUGCUCCCUUCCUGGCUCUACUCUCAGGACUGAGUUGUGAUGGAACCAGCAAUGCCUUGAGUGCUCCCAAUGACCCAGUAACCGAUGGGCCUGAGGACUUCAAACAGGUACUAAUUCCAAGAAACUGGAGUUUGGUUGGGAAGAAGAAGAAGGAAUAAAGCCCAGAGGAAGAGGCAUUUGGAGAUGGAAGAGCAGCUGCCUUACCUCAGUCACCAGGAGCUGGCUGAAGGGGAUCUUCGUGGAUAUUUCCUUUGGAAGGAUGGUAUUCAACCGCUGAAAUACAAAGCCAGGUUUGCAGAAGUCAGUGAAUAAAGGAAGACAAAAAAACCCAAACAAAAAACGUGGUGAUGAUUGUAAAUAGGAUGCCCACAGUGACAGGAGCCAAGGUUGGAGACAUGGUGCUGGGCUGAUGUGAUAGGAGAGAAACAAGAAGAUACAGGAGGAAUAUCCAGAAAGUGUUUCCACACUGCAAAAGGUUGGCAUAGAAGAAUAAAAGACAGGGUAAGUACUGGAUCUCUACUAAGGACUAGUGUAAGGUAUUGCCCAUCAGAUACUUCAAACUAACUGAUUCAGUCUCUCUUGUCAUAAGUUUAUUGGCUGCAGUACUACUUCUGAGUCAGCCCAGGUACUGAGCUAUGCUGUAGCGUUAGUCAAAAGCAAUACAAUAAUAGUGUAAAAGUUGCAGGAGGUGAAUACAAUUACUAGAAAUGCUAUUGAUGGCAUUACUUGUUUAUUUAGUAGACAGAAUUUAGAAUGGGAAUAAGGAUUUGUCUGUCACCAUCACAUCAGCCAUCAGUUCAGCACUGCCCUAGGCAAUGAGUAUGCUGUUACUAAUUUUAGUUUGAUUUGUUGUCGUUCAGUCCAGAUAAUUUUUGAGGUUCAUUUAGUUGCUGUUAAUAAAAAAAAAAAAAAAGACAGAAAUACUGUGUACUGGCAAGGGAGGGUACUCAGAAAUCCACUCCUUAAAUCACAGUCCCUUCAGGUUUUGCUAGUGACAUGACAGUGAGUUAGUUAUUUCCUUCAGAGACAGGAGCAACAACUUGACUUCUCUUCACGACUUGGUGCUUCCUCUCGGCGGACCAGUGUCACAGCCACAUCCUGCAGACUGCAUUGCAUUUGCACUGCCUUCUGAAAGAGCACUUCUGAUGCUGAGCACUGGAGGGUUCAUACUUAAGAGGAAGAGGUUGAUAGAAAAUGUAGUAGAGGUACUCAAAAUAAUGAUUGAAGAUGAAUGAGUUGCUGUUCUGCACAGUCUCUAAAUGCCAUCAUUAGAUCUAACUGGGUAGUUGGCUGGUGGAAGGAGGUGUUGCCUUUGCUUGAGAAGUGAUUAAACUGUGCAAUUCACUUUCAUGGGAAAGUGAGUCAGAAUUUUCUGAGAUUUAAAAAGACUCUACUUGUCAUUUCUUUAUUUAU